AUCACGUUGAAACGCCGGUUUCCGUAAGAUCACCGAAGUUAAGCAACGUUGAUCUUGUUUAGUACCUAGAUGGAUGAUCGCUUCAAAAUACCAGAUGCUGUAUG